rnacentral:lncRNA from 1 species
UUUGUUGGAUUGGGUUUGUGUUGAUGCAAACAAGGUGGCCUGCAAUAGCUAUGUCAUCCUCCUAGUUGUAUCAAACGGAAAUACCUGUGGUGUCUAUAUUUGACAUUUUCCCUUUGUCUUCUUUCUGGGUUUCGAGAUACCUUCCAACCCACCUUCACUUAAAUACUUUUUAAGUAUCCCAAAUGCAGUAUGAAAUGAAAUGCCCCCAAUUGGUCACUUUACAUUCCCUCUUUCCUCCAAAAGCUUUUAAUCAAAUUUGAUCCAGCAC